rnacentral:rRNA from 2 species
UCCUGACUGACCGAUAGUGAACCAGUACCGUGAGGGAAAGGCGAAAAGAACCCCGGCGAGGGGAGUGAAAAAGAACCUGAAACCGUGUACGUACAAGCAGUGGGAGCACGCUUAGGCGUGUGACUGCGUACCUUUUGUAUAAUGGGUCAGCGACUUAUAUUCUGUAGCAAGGUUAACCGAAUAGGGGAGCCGAAGGGAAACCGAGUCUUAACUGGGCGUUAAGUUGCAGGGUAUAGACCCGAAACCCGGUGAUCUAGCCAUGGGCAGGUUGAAGGUUGGGUAACACUAACUGGAGGACCGAACCGACUAAUGUUGAAAAAUUAGCGGAUGACUUGUGGCUGGGGGUGAAAGGCCAAUCAAACCGGGAGAUAGCUGGUUCUCCCCGAAAGCUAUUUAGGUAGCGCCUCGUGAAUUCAUCUCCGGGGGUAGAGCACUGUUUCGGCAAGGGGGUCAUCCCGACUUACCAACCCGAUGCAAACUGCGAAUACCGGAGAAUGUUAUCACGGGAGACACACGGCGGGUGCUAACGUCCGUCGUGAAGAGGGAAACAACCCAGACCGCCAGCUAAGGUCCCAAAGUCAUGGUUAAGUGGGAAACGAUGUGGGAAGGCCCAGACAGCCAGGAUGUUGGCUUAGAAGCAGCCAUCAUUUAAAGA